rnacentral:rRNA from 1 species
AUUGAACGCUGGCGGCAGGCCUAACACAUGCAAGUCGAACGGUAACAGGAAGAAGCUUGCUUCUUUGCUGACGAGUGGCGGACGGGUGAGUAAUGUCUGGGAAACUGCCUGAUGGAGGGGGAUAACUACUGGAAACGGUAGCUAAUACCGCAUAACGUCGCAAGACCAAAGAGGGGGACCUUCGGGCCUCUUGCCAUCGGAUGUGCCCAGAUGGGAUUAGCUAGUAGGUGGGGUAACGGCUCACCUAGGCGACGAUCCCUAGCUGGUCUGAGAGGAUGACCAGCCACACUGGAACUGAGACACGGUCCAGACUCCUACGGGAGGCAGCAGUUGGGAAUAUUGCACAAUGGGCGCAAGCCUGAUGGAGCCAUGCCGCGUGUAUGAAGAAGGUCUUCGGGUUGUAAAAUUCUUUCAGCGGGGAGGAAGGGAGUAAAGUUAAUACCUUUGCUCAUUGACGUUACCCGCAGAAGAAGCACCGGCUAACUCCGUG